rnacentral:rRNA from 1 species
GUGUAGGGCCAUGCCCCCCUGAACGUGCGGGAUCCCGUCUGAUCCCGGAAGUUAAGCAGGGUCCAGACUGAUUAGUACUUGGAUGGGAGUCCACCUAGGAAGACUAGGUGCUUUAGGCG